rnacentral:misc_RNA from 1 species
CCCAAUUCCUUUUCUGUCUCCAACUCUCCUCUGCUUUGAAGAAAUGUACAUUGUUUUACAAAGAGUCAAGACUCUGAUUGAGGACUGCUCAAAUGGAAGCAGGAUGUGGCUUCUAAUCCAAACCGAAUCUAUGGCUAGCAGUUUUUACGAGGUAACCCUUGAAUUAUCAACACUUUUGGAUAUUUUCCCAGUCGAAGAGAUUGAUUUGAGCCAAGAUAUUCAAGAACUCGUCAUUUUGAUCAGAAGACAAUGCUCCCAAGCAAAAACAUUCUUGGAUCCGAAUGAUUAUAAUCUAAGGCAUCAGGUGUUAACCAUGCUUGAUCUAAUCAGGAAACAGAUCGUGCCUGAUCAUUCCAAGCUCGCUGCGCUGAGAUAUUUGAUAAAUUAGGCUUUCGCAAUUCUUCUACCUGCAAAGAGGAGAUCGAGAGUCUCGAAGACGAAGUACAAAAUCAGAUAGACGAGAAAUCCAAAUCUGAGGUGGUUGCUCUGAUCGGACUCGUACGCUACGCGAAAUGUGUCCUCUAUGGAGCAUCAACGCCCACAUCCGAUCGCCGGCAGCGAAAGGUGGUGCCAGAGGCCAAUAUUCCAUCGGCCUUCCGAUGUCCGAUUAGCCUGGAUUUGAUGCGGGACCCUGUCGUAGUGGCCACCGGCCAGACAUACGAUCGAGAGUCCAUCAAUCAAUGGAUUGAAUCUGGACACGACACGUGUCCAAUGACAGUACAGAGGCUGGUUCACACCAACCUGAUCCCUAACCUUGCUUUGAAGAAUCUAAUUGGCAUGUGGU